rnacentral:tRNA from 1 species
UCCUCUGGUAGGAAGCUCAGUUGGUUAGAGCGCUGCACCGGAAUCGCAGGGCCGUAGGUUCAUUUCCUACCAGAGGAC